rnacentral:rRNA from 1 species
GGCGAGUGGCGAACGGGUGAGUAAUACAUCGGAACGUGCCCUGUAGUGGGGGAUAACUAGUCGAAAGACUAGCUAAUACCGCAUACGACCUGAGGGUGAAAGUGGGGGACCGCAAGGCCUCAUGCUAUAGGAGCGGCCGAUGUCUGAUUAGCUAGUUGGUGGGGUAAAGGCCCACCAAGGCGACGAUCAGUAGCUGGUACUGAGAGGACGAUCAGCCACACUGGGACUGAGUCCC